UGCUUAUGUUUGUUAUUUGAUGUUAUAAUGGAUUUACCAUUUUUCAGUCAGUAAUUUUAUGAUGUAUCAUCUUUAACAUGAGAGGAACAUGAGUAGCUCUAAAUGUUGGCAUUAAACAGGCCAUUUGCUUUCUUUUUUUAUCUGUAUUAUCAGGAGAGAAGAAAUGUUCUUUUUCCCAUCUUCUUUCAUGAAAUUAUGUUAUAUCAUAUUUUCGAUGCCC
rnacentral:lncRNA from 1 species